CCAUCUUUUUCAGGCACUCCAUUUUUUUUUUUAAAUGGAUGAGGUUAGCGGAAGUAAUAUAGUAACCAGGCACAGGAGUUCCAACCCCCCUCUCCCCCCAAAUAAACAACACCCCCCCAAAAAACAAUCCUUAAGAAUUAAAAAGCUAGCUGGAGAAUAGAAGAAAAAGCUCACAAGUUUUACACAAAACGUUGUUUCCAUGUAUUUAUUGCCAGUUCUACUUAAGCCUAUUUCUGAAGGGAAAAUGUUAGCUUUUAUUAAAUCACCUUUUUUCUUCUGUCAGAAUCUCACAGUAAUUGCAAAGUACUGUAAUAUAGGGACUGGAACUCAGGACUCGAGGACUGUUGUCUGACCUCUGGUUUGCUGUGUAUCGUCAGACAAGUCAGGUCGUGUGUACCACCGUUUGUUGACAGUGUGGAGGCUGAAUGUAGGGUUUUGAAGCAAUCUGAGCUUUCAAGACUAAAGGCACUAUAGAAGUAUUACUUUCAGCUACUCUCUGGCCGCUGACUUUUAAAUGCUGAUCCCUGAUGGAUAUGAAGGUUAAUAAAAAUCUCAAAAUCUCUUUGCAUUGCAUUAGGUCUAACGGAGUCAACAGAAUAAUUGGUAAUAGGGUCUUAACACUAGACUGUAUAUGAAGUCGACUGAGAAGCUAGCAACAUUAUUAUUCAUUGCUAAUUAUGAUGCUUGGACCUUCAAAGCCCAGUACUUAAGGACAGUGUCUAUAAAUGCAAAUUAAUGGAAAAGAACUUUCAAAAUUGGAAACGGAGUGGAAUUUACAAUUUUUUUAGCUCAAGAAUUCCAUGCCUGAUGUAAUAGAUAGAGAAAUCUUUCUAGAUUUCAAGAGCAUAUUUCUCUCUCCUAAAAAAACAUCUUUCGCAUUACAGUUUUGCUCCACGGCACUACUAAUAAUUUAUCAAUACUACUGUACAUUUGUUACAGUAGUGCAGGGACACAGCCAGGCACCCAGAGCACAGUUAACUCCUGAUAGCUACGUGAUUGUGGCUGCCAGGAGCAGGCACUUGUUUCUCCUCCACUACAAGUUGCACCUGACUCAGUUCAAUGGAGCAGGGAGUAGCCUGCAAACAGACCAAAAGGAAAAUUUUACUCAGUUAAGAACUAAAAUAUUUAAGUGCUGGAGAUAUUCCGCUUAUGGGAAGAUUAAGGAUAGAACUAGGAACCUAUAUAUCAUGUGUGAUCUCAAUAAUGGAAAUGAUUUUAGCAACACACACAAAUUACUAUGUUACAUGUAUACAACCAGACUACCCGACCAGCUGAACACUAGAAAUCUGUCUUACCUUAAGUGAAAUAAAUAAUCAAUGUAUUAGGUGGAAGGAAAGUAACUACUGAAUAGGUACAUGGUAUGGAGGUCUGGCCUUGUGUGUAACACAAAGCAAGUGGCAAAGCAUACCUCUAACUGGGAGCUCAAAAUUAGAUAAUACUCUGGAGAGGAACAUCCUGGCAUUAGGCAGAACAUCCUGGUGUGAUACAUCAUGGA